AAGUUAUAAAAAUAAUUAAAAAUCAGAUUAUGAAACUAGAUUUUUCAAGAAAAGUUUUGCCAUUGGUCUCAUAUUUUUGUGACUUCGAAUAAAAUACUUAUGAAUUUUUGAAAUUAAAAGGAAUUAAAAGAAAUUAAAACAAAAAAUAGAAAAAUAGGAAAAAUCAGGAAUGCUUGGAUUGAUUUCAUUAAAUGACGUGGCCUCAUCACAAGGCUCAGAGGCGCUGAUGUACCAUGGUCUUCAGUCAAAUGAGCGACAUGCAUAUUUAAAAUAAGUCAAAC
rnacentral:lncRNA from 1 species